rnacentral:rRNA from 1 species
GCGACCCCAGGUCANGCGGGACUACCCGCUGAGUUUA